rnacentral:rRNA from 1 species
CAGCCGCCACGGGAAUACGGAGGGAGCUAGCGUUGUUCGGAAUUACUGGGCGUAAAGCGCGCGUAGGCGGUUACUCAAGUCAGAGGUGAAAGCCCGGGGCUCAACCCCGGAACUGCCUUUGAAACUAGGUGACUAGAAUCUUGGAGAGGUCAGUGGAAUUCCGAGUGUAGAGGUGAAAUUCGUAGAUAUUCGGAAGAACACCAGUGGCGAAGGCGACUGACUGGACAAGUAUUGACGCUGAGGUGCGAAAGCGUGGGGAGCAAACAGGAUUAGAUACCCUGUAGUCCCUGUCUCUUAUACA